AUUUAAGGGCUGGCAGUAGAGGUGAGAAGAUCUUUUGCUGAAGAUCUCUGCCUACCUGAGGUCUUCCAAAGCUGUGGCUGGGCAUCGGAGGAUCUGGUGCUAAUCAUGCUGGAAACAAAGGAUGACUGGAGAACAAUACCACAAAACUUCUUUAUAACUGAUAGAGUGGAAAAGGAAUUUCCUGAAGUCAGUAUCUACAGUUAUGUUCAAAUCUAAUCUGUGGGCAAGGAGGAAGCAUGCUAUUCAUACAGCUGUAAAUAUCCUCUCUGAGGGAUCAGAUAUGUAUAGCCUUCUUGGAUGGAAAGAAAAAUGGCGACAGGAGUAAGCUCAGGCUUCCUGUGAUACAGUAAGGAACUAUUACACUGCAAGAUCUGCGAGUGAUUGUGAAGAUGACUGUGGUUCUUAAACUAGGUAUACUGACUUGAAGACAGAACCUGCUUUUAUUUGUCCAGAUGAUUGGCAGAGCAGAAGUAAAUUAAACCUGAUGGAAACAAUUUUACUUUAUUGAUGCCAGUGGAUCCAGAUAUAUGGAUUUUAGUUCUAAAACAGGCACUGAGAACAUGAGUGAUUUUAUUUUCUUAAUUAAAAGAAAAUCAUUAACAGUUCCAAGGGGAUAAGCCCACCCAAUCAUUGUUCUCAGGCCUAACCCACUCAUCCAUUCUCCUUUCUGAUCUCAAUUGUUCUAUUUUAACUUCCUUAUCUUCUGUAUUUCCUUCUUGGAUUAUAAUAUUUUAAAAUAUAAAAGCUAAUGAACUAUGCCAGAAACUUAAAAUUCAGAACUAGAGAUUAUAGGUGAUUAUAAUGUUAUCUGAGUUGUUCUUUAACUGUUAGCAAGAAUUUUGUAAUUGCCACAGAAAACUUCAUUAAGUGAUUGAAUUGAUUAAGGCAAUAAUAAAGAAAAUCAGUAGGUUGUAAAUGAAAAUACUAACAAUUUUAACUUAAAAAAGAAAAAAUAUUAUUAUUUAUAUUUUAGUAAGAUACAGAAGAAAAGUGAGUAUUACACUCUGGAAUGCAUUUUCUUCAUAACAUAGAAACAAUUGGUUAUGCACAUUCUCAGGUAUUUCUAAAUAUAGUAAAUACAAAAUGGCUACAAAACCUGCCAUUAUUAAUAACCGGGUCAUUGCAUAUAAAAGUAAUAAAACAUAUGCGCACUGGAUUUUAGCUUUUUGAAUGUACUCCAUCUACUGUGGUUUGAAAACAAUUGCAACUGAGCCAUACUGACCGAAUUGGCUCUACUGUAUUCCUACAGUUAGAGUGUACUGUGCUUUUGCUAAGUAAACUAUUUUAUUCAUGUAAACAAUCACUGUUGUUCUGCACUUGCAAUGGUUAAGAUCAUGCAUAUGGUCUGAUUUGAUGGCUAAUCAAUCAAGCAAAAGCAUGACUGCUUGCAAAUAUUCAUUUUUUCCUAAGAUAUACCAGUACUGGUUGUAUAAGUUUUUGCAUCACAAGCUGGUGCUGUAGACAAUAUUGCAUUUAUAACUAACAAAAUUUAAUACACACUGAUAGAGCUUGAAAAAAAGGAUUUUACUAGUGUGGAACAGCAACCAGUGAACACUGACCUGACCAGUGUGGAACUUGUUACAAAGAAUGUUCUAAACUGCUCUGCAACACUGUCAUUAUAGGCAUUGCCACCCCUGGAAGCUGACCAAAAUGCUCCAAAGCCCAACAGACUGCUGUUCUCUCUGCCUUGGUCAGAGAUCUAUCUCUUUCUUUUGGUGACAGUACUUUGCUAUUUUGGAUAAUAAUCAGCAUCUUUUACAGGAAGUAUUAUCAUGAGAUGAACAAAGCUAACUGGAUGUCAUUUGAUCACAGACUUGAAAAGAAUCCCCAUAUAUAGUGGUGAAUGGCAUGAAGUUUUAAAUUUAAGCUAGUAAAUAUAGCUUCUCUAAUGUGUAAGUCUUCUAUCCUUCUAAUCAGCAGAAGUAAUAUUUAGCAAAUUUCAUUCCUUCUGGUUUUUUAUAUCUUUCAUCGUACCUGAGGAAUCUCUUACUCUAAAUACAGGAAAAUGACAUGAACAAUGCCCUUGAAGAACAAUUAGGAAUUUUUUGGAUUUCCUAUUGGCAACCACUAUCUUUUGUUAUUGAUAAUUAGACAGAUUUAGUAUGAGAAGCUUAAUAUGAUCACAGGUUGUUAUAAAGUGUCAUGCUAUAGUACUCUGCAUGGUAACAGGUAUAUGGCAUUACUUUAAAACUGUACCACUAGAACGCCUUCAUUCUGCAUCAGUCUUUAAAUAGACUUGUCUGUGGAGAAAAUAGAGAGAAAUGAGACAGAGAAAGGAGGCAGGGGAUGGAAGAUUGCAAGUCAUGAUAGAAGAAGUACUAGAACACAGUCUACUAAGAGGGAAUUAAAAAAAAGAAUCACUGGAGAUACUGAGUAUAAAUAGACAGUACCUGUAUUGACUUGCAGAUAGUUGCCGAGGUCCAUGAUAUUGCAGUAAUGAGAAAUGUCUUCUCUCUACAGAUAUUUAUAAAAAAUGUCACUGUAUAUUGUGGAAAAUUCAUUGCCAAUAGUUUGUUCGUAUCUGUUAACAUAUGAUCUGCUAAUAAAAAACAAUAAAU
ensembl:lncRNA